AGCAGCUCGUUUGUUCCACGGGAUUAGCAGCAUGGCAUCUAACUAUUUUUCAUUUCUUAUAAUUUGCUUUACCCUUGCUAUGUUUAAGAUAGCAUUGCAGGGUCCAAUCUCUUGCUCCAGUGCUGGUGACGGCGUCUAUGAGAAUCCAAGUGACUGUAAUAAGUACAUCCAGUGCAAUGGGGGAUCACGAUACGAUAUGUCGUGUCCUGGUAAACUUGCUUUCAAUAAAUACACAAAGGAAUGUGACUACCCAGCAAAUAUGCAAUGCUUCAAAGGWAAUACUGCGUUAUAACUCCCCUAUUUCAUUAUAACGAGUUCCAUUUGCCGGCUGCUCCAGUACUGGUGAUGAGUCUCAUCCAAAUCCAAGUGACUGCAACAAGUACAUCCAAUGUUAUAAGGGAAAACCAUACGACAUGUCCUGCCCUGAUGGGCUAAUAUUCAACUUAAACACAAAAAUGUGUGAUAUGCUAGAUAAAACAUUGCAAUGCUAGCUAAAUAUGAGUUAGCUUUGAAUGAUUAAACCAU